UACGUAGGGGGCGAGCGUUGUCCGGAGUUACUGGGCGUAAAGCGCACGCAGGCGGUCUGCUAAGUUUGGAGUGACAGUUGGUGGCUUAACUGCCAAAGUGCUUCGAAAACUGACAGACUUGAGGGCUUCAGAGGGACACGGAAUUCCGGGUGGAGUGGUGAAAUGCGCAGAUAUCAGGAGGAACACCGAUGGCGAAGGCAGGUCUCUGGGCCACUACUGACGCUGAGAAGCGAAAGCAUGGGGAGCGAACAGG
rnacentral:rRNA from 1 species